UAGUGUCCGCCAGAGAACUACGAGCGAAAAGCUUAAAACUCAAAGGACUUGGCGGUGCUCCACAUCAACUUAGAGGAGCCUGUCCUAUAACCGAUACCCCACGUUAAACCUUACCAUCUUUUGCCCUCAGCCUAUAUACCGCCGUCGCAAACUUACCCCACAAGGGCCUAACAGUAAGUACAACUGACUCCCCCCCUCAAAAACGUCAGGUCGAGGUGUAGCUAAUAAGAUGGCAGAGAUGGGCUACAUUUUUUAAAAUAAAACACCACGGCACGGGGCUAUGAAACCCCCCCCCCAAGGCGGAUUUAACAGUAA
rnacentral:rRNA from 1 species